AACGAACGCUGGCGGCAGGCUUAACACAUGCAAGUCGAACGGGCGUAGCAAUACGUCAGUGGCGGACGGGUGAGUAACACGUGGGAAUAUGCCUUUCGGUUCGGAACAACUCGGGGAAACCCGUGCUAAUUCCGGAUACGCCCUUACGGGGAAGAUUUAUCGCCGAAAGAUUAGCCCGCGUUGGAUUAGCUAGUUGGUGAGGUAAAGGCUCACCAAGGCGACGAUCCAUAGCUGGUUUGAGAGAACGACCAGCCACACUGGGACUGAGACACGGCCCAGACUCCUACGGGAGGCAGCAGUGGGGAAUCUUGCGCAAUGGGCGAAAGCCUGACGCAGCGACGCCGCGUGAGGGAUGACGGCCUCGGUGUAACU
rnacentral:rRNA from 1 species